GAGGGUAUAGAUCAGUGGUAGAGUGCACGCUUAGCAUGCAUGAGGUCUUGGGUUCAAUCCCCAGUACCUCCU
rnacentral:tRNA from 1 species